AGAGUUUCUUCCUGGCUCAGGAUGAACGCUAGCGGCAGGCUUAACACAUGCAAGUCGAAGGGCAACGGGGAGAGUGCUUGCACUCUCUGCCGGCGACUGGCGCACGGGUGAGUAACACGUAUGCAACCUGCCCUCCACAGGGGGACAACCUUCCGAAAGGGAGGCUAAUCCCGCGUAUAUUCCCCUGGGGGCAUCCCUGGGGGAGGAAAGGGUUACCGGUGGAGGAUGGGCAUGCGGGCGCAUUAGGCAGUAGGCGGGGUAACGGCCCACCUAACCGACGAUGCGUAGGGGUUCUGAGAGGAAGGUCCCCCACACUGGUACUGAGACACGGACCAGACUCCUACGGGAGGCAGCAGUGAGGAAUAUUGGUCAAUGGGCGAGAGCCUGAACCAGCCAAGUCGCGUGAGGGAAGACGGUUCUAUGGAUUGUAAACCUCUUUUGUCGGGGAGCAAAAAGGCCUCGUGAGGCCACAAGUGAGAGUACCCGAAGAAAAAGCAUCGGCUAACUCCGUGCCAGCAGCCGCGGUAAUACGGAGGAUGCGAGCGUUAUCCGGAUUUAUUGGGUUUAAAAGGUGCGUAGGCGGACUGGAAAGUCAGCGGUAAAAUCGAGAGGCUCAACCUCUUUCCGCCGUUGAAACUGUCGGUCUUGAGUGGGCGAGAAGUAUGCGGAAUGCGUGGUGUAGCGGUGAAAUGCAUAGAUAUCACGCAGAACUCCGAUUGCGAAGGCAGCAUAUCGGCGCCCGACUGACGCUGAGGCACGAAAGCGUGGGUAUCGAACAGGAUUAGAUACCCUGGUAGUCCGCGCGGUAAACGAUGGAUGCCCGCUGUCGGCGAUAUACAGUCGGCGGCCAAGCGAAAGCGUUAAGCAUCCCACCUGGGGAGUACGCCGGCAACGGUGAAACUCAAAGGAAUUGACGGGGGCCCGCACAAGCGGAGGAACAUGUGGUUUAAUUCGAUGAUACGCGAGGAACCUUACCCGGGCUUGAAUUGCAGAGGAAAGAUCCAGAGAUGGUGAUGCCCUUCGGGGCCUCUGUGAAGGUGCUGCAUGGUUGUCGUCAGCUCGUGCCGUGAGGUGUCGGCUUAAGUGCCAUAACGAGCGCAACCCCUUUCCCUAGUUGCCAUCGGUUCUAGCCGGGCACUCUGGGGACACUGCCUCCGCAAGGAGUGAGGAAGGUGGGGAUGACGUCAAAUCAGCACGGCCCUUACGUCCGGGGCUACACACGUGUUACAAUGGGUGAUACAGAGGGCCGGCCGCUGGCAACAUCGGUCCAAUCCUUAAAGUCAUCCUCAGUUCGGACUGGGGUCUGCAACCCGACCCCACGAAGCUGGAUUCGCUAGUAAUCGCGCAUCAGCCAUGGCGCGGUGAAUACGUUCCCGGGCCUUGCACACACCGCCC
rnacentral:rRNA from 1 species